UACGUAGGGGGCAAGCGUUGUCCGGAAUCAUUGGGCGUAAAGCGCGUGUAGGCGGCUGGCUAAGUCCGCUCUGAAAGCCCGGGGCUCAACCCCGGGAGGCGGGUGGAUACUGGUCAGCUCGAGUCCGGAAGAGGAGUGUGGAAUUCCUGGUGUAGCGGUGAAAUGCGCAGAUAUCAGGAGGAACACCAAUGGCGAAGGCAGCACUCUGGGACGGUACUGACGCUGAGACGCGAAAGCGUGGGGAGCAAACAGG
rnacentral:rRNA from 1 species